AGACCCGAAACCCGGUGAUCUAGCCAUGGGCAGGUUGAAGGUUGGGUAACACUAACUGGAGGACCGAACCGACUAAUGUUGAAAAAUUAGCGGAUGACCUGUGGCUGGGGGUGAAAGGCCAAUCAAACCGGGAGAUAGCUGGUUCUCCCCGAAAGCUAUUUAGGUAGCGCCUCGUGAAUUCAUCUCCGGGGGUAGAGCACUGUUUCGGCCAGGGGGCCAUCCCGGCUUACCAAUCCGAUGCAAACUGCGAAUACCGGAGAAUGUUAUCACGGGAGACACACGGCGGGUGCUAACGUCCGUCGUGAAGAGGGAAACAACCCAGACCGCCAGCUAAGGUCCCAAAGUCAUGGUUAAGUGGGAAACGAUGUGGGAAGGCCCAGACAGCCAGGAUGUUGGCUUAGAAGCAGCCAUCAUUUAAAGAAAGCGUAAUAGCUCACUGGUCGAGUCGGCCUGCGCGGAAGAUGUAACGGGGCUAAACCAUGCACCGAAGCUGCGGCAGCGAACGUAUCACCCAAGACAACUUUGCACAGUUGACGAUUGACGGAGCGAAGCGACGUCAAAGCGUUUUACAACGUCGAGUUGGCUUAGGGAUACGUUCGUUGGGUAGGGGAGCGUUCUGUAAGCCGUUGAAGGUGUGUCGUGAGGCAUGCUGGAGGUAUCAGAAGUGCGAAUGCUGACAUAAGUAACGAUAAAGCGGGUGAAAAGCCCGCUCGCCGGAAGACCAAGGGUUCCUGUCCAACGUUAAUCGGGGCAGGGUGAGUCGACCCCUAAGGCGAGGCCGAAAGGCGUAGUCGAUGGGAAACGGGUUAAUAUUCCCGUACUUGGUGUUACUGCGAAGGGGGGACGGAGAAGGCUAUGUUGGCCGGGCGACGGUUGUCCCGGUUUAAGCGUGUAGGCUGACUUUCCAGGCAAAUCCGGAGAGUCAAGGCUGAGGCGUGACGACGAGGCACCACGGUGCUGAAGCAACAAAUGCCCUGCUUCCAGGAAAAGCCUCUAAGCCUCAGGUAACAUCAAAUCGUACCCCAAACCGACACAGGUGGUCAGGUAGAGAAUACCAAGGCGCUUGAGAGAACUCGGGUGAAGGAACUAGGCAAAAUGGUGCCGUAACUUCGGGAGAAGGCACGCUGACACGUAGGUGAAGCGGUUUACCCGUGGAGCUGAAGUCAGUCGAAGAUACCAGCUGGCUGCAACUGUUUAUUAAAAACACAGCACUGUGCAAACACGAAAGUGGACGUAUACGGUGUGACGCCUGCCCGGUGCCGGAAGGUUAAUUGAUGGGGUCAGCGCAAGCGAAGCUCCUGAUCGAAGCCCCGGUAAACGGCGGCCGUAACUAUAACGGUCCUAAGGUAGCGAAAUUCCUUGUCGGGUAAGUUCCGACCUGCACGAAUGGCGUAAUGAUGGCCAGGCUGUCUCCACCCGGGACUCAGUGAAAUUGAACUCGCUGUGAAGAUGCAGUGUACCCGCGGCAAGACGGAAAGACCCCGUGAACCUUUACUAUAGCUUGACACUGAACACUGGUCCUUGAUGUGCAGGAUAGGUGGGAGGCUUUGAAGUGUGGACGCCAGUCUGCAUGGAGCCAUCCUUGAAAUACCACCCUUUAAUGGCUGGUGUUCUAACGUGGACCCGUAAUCCGGGUUGCGGACAGUGUCUGGUGGGUAGUUUGACUGGGGCGGUCUCCUCCUAAAGAGUAACGGAGGAGCACGAAGGUUGGCUAAUCCUGGUCGGACAUCAGGAGGUUAGUGCAAUGGCAUAAGCCAGCUUGACUGCGAGCGUGACGGCGCGAGCAGGUGCGAAAGCAGGUCAUAGUGAUCCGGUGGUUCUGAAUGGAAGGGCCAUCGCUCAACGGAUAAAAGGUACUCCGGGGAUAACAGGCUGAUACCGCCCAAGAGUUCAUAUCGACGGCGGUGUUUGGCACCUCGAUGUCGGCUCAUCACAUCCUGGGGCUGAAGUAGGUCCCAAGGGUAUGGCUGUUCGCCAUUUAAAGUGGUACGCGAGCUGGGUUUAGAACGUCGUGAGACAGUUCGGUCCCUAUCUGCCGUGGGCGCUGGAAGAUUGAGGGGGGCUGCUCCUAGUACGAGAGGACCGGAGUGGACGCAUCACUGGUGUUCGGGUUGUCAUGCCAAUGGCACUGCCCGGUAGCUACAUGCGGAAGAGAUAAGUGCUGAAAGCAUCUAAGCACGAAACUUGCCCCGAGAUGAAUCUUCCCUGAGCCUUUAAGGCUCCUGAAGGAACGUUGAAGACGACGACGUUGAUAGGCCGGGUGUGUAAGCGCAGCGAUGCGUUGAGCUAACCGGUACUAAUGAACCGUGAGGCUUAACCUUACAAC
rnacentral:rRNA from 4 species